UGGCCUCUUUCUUUCCGACUUAAUUGGUUAUUCUUAGUUGUACUAUAUUUAAAUAUAUUGAGAUAUAGGUUAUUGAACCAUCUAUCUUAAUUCCUUGGCAAGUUGGGUUUGUGUUGCCUUCACGAGCCUUCCUAUUUGUGCAUGCCUGUAUUCCACUGGUUGCUCUUCUUGUAUGUGUGCGUGUGUGAUCUGUGAUGUUCGAAAAUAAAUGAGAGUAGGAGAAGGCAACAAAGCUCUUGGAGGCUUACAAAUAGGUAUAAAUGAAUAAGGGGUAUUAUAGUAAUUGAAUAAAACUUGAUAAAUAUAAAUAGAAAAAAAAAAAGGAAAGAGGGAUCUGAAAAUUUAGGGUGAGUGAUGGCAGGAGAGAAGAAAAGGGAAAGAAGAAGAAGAGAAAAGAGGGAAAGAUAAAGGAAAGAGAGGAGAGUUGGAGAAAAUAAGUAUAAAGAUAAUCCUGAUAUUAUACUUGCAGGACAUCAGUAGGAUUUCCUUCGGUAUCUGCUUUCGAGUUAUGUUCGCUUUGAGUAAGGUAGGUCAUUGCUUCCAACAUGCUGUGUAAUUCAUGCCGUACUAGACUCAUCAGGUGCUCAUUUUCUCUCGGGUGAUUUUGUGUUGACACUCGAAAGUGUAACCUCGGAUCAACUUAGUGUUGCUCGAAAAGUUACCAUAACAAGUAAUUCAACAACCAUAGUUGCUGACCCAUCAACUAAAGCUGAAAUUCAGGCAAUAAUUCUGCAGAUAAGAAAGGAUCUUGCUGAAACAGGUAAUGCUGCCCCCUCAAAAAAGCUCUCAGAGAGAAAUGCUAAAUUAUCUGGUGGUGUGGCCGUAAUCAUGGUUCGUGAUCAAGCUCUUAGUAAGAAUUGCUAACUAUUGUAAAACACAAUUCGGAAAAAUAGAUUAGCAUAGUGACAAUUCUGGCUACAAGUGCGUAGAAUUAUUUCUAGAGACAUGAGGCUCUUAAAGCUGCAUUGGUUCAGUAACAGGGAUGGAUUUUCUGCUCUCUUUUUUUCAUAAGAAAUAUAAAGACAUAAGACAGGACUCCAAUCUUUUAUUUUGGUGUUGUUUUAUUUUAAAAUUACCUUUAUAUUUAACUUGUUUAGCAUGCAUUGUGCAUAAAAUUUAGUUUUGAAAUCCAAAUCGCCUCUCUCCCUCCUCUCUCGCCAUCCAAAUUGUCUCAACUUUAACCAUAUCACUUGGAUCUUUAGGAUCCUUAUCCAAUAUCAUUGUUUUGCAGACAAUAGACAAUGUUCUGAUUUGAUCUUUCCUAUCCCUCUUCAUCCUGAGAAGUUUGACAAUGUUCUGAUUUGAUCUUUCCAAUCCCUCUUCAUCCUGAGAAGUUUCUUUACAAAGCCAAAAACCUUUUAAUUCACAAAAAAACACAAGUCGCAUAACUUUUGCUUUGUGUUUUGCUUCAAGUUGUCCAAAAUUAGACUUUAGUUUUGAAACCACAAGCACUUCACUAACUGGGUGUUACGAUUCAAGUUACCAUGGAAUUAAGGUUACUAGCUUACAAAUAAAGAAUGCAAGCCUCCAGUACUGUUUCCAGUACAGAACAGAAUUGUUAGCCUUCAAGCAAAGAAUUGCAGCAUGUGCUGAAUGUGGAAAACGUGAAGAGCUUGACUAUUAGUUAGGAGGUAGUUAGUUGUUGAGUUAGUUAGUAGUUAGCAGUCUAAUAAAGGUUUAAAUCAGUUGUAAUUGGAGAGAAAACCAUUGUAUAUAAACAGGUGUAUGGAAACGUGUUGAAAGGAAGAAAAUACAGAAGAUCAAUCUCAUUUCUGUGCUCA